rnacentral:lncRNA from 1 species
AAACAGAUGUUCUUUUAAAUGAUACAAAGAAGAUAGCCUUGAUCAGUUCUGUUGGAUUGUUUCUUAGGAAUGCUUUAGCAUGAAGUUACUACCUGUCAUAAUGCUGUUACUAUACUCUGGCUUUAUUUGCACCGUUUACGGAUCAUCCAAAUCAAAAUCUAAAUGUGAAAAAGAACGGGAUGAUAUAGCGGGAACUUUUAGCGAUAUUAAUGUUUUUAUACCAGUGUGUAAUGAUGACGGCACGUACACCAAAUCACAGUGUGAUGGUGCAACUGGAAACUGUUGGUGCGUGAAUAAGGAUGGAAAACAAAUCACCCCCAGAACAAAAGGACCACCAAAGUGCAAGUAGCUUCAGUACCUAAGUUUUAUCGUUUUGAGAAAAUAGGCCGAAAAAUGUAUUUUAAUAAGAUUUCUGGUUUGAAAUUCACUCAAUAACACAAAUAAAUGUUGUAGCUUAUGCA